UCUGAAGCAUUGGAUGCAGAUAUGCCUCUGCUUGCUCCAGCCUUAGGCAUGUGCCUGAAGUUGUUUCCUGAAUCUUUAUAAGCUGGGUAAGAAAGGGGAGCCAGCUUAUUUCAUAGCUGGACUUGCUCAAAACAAGGUUUUACCGCGUAAUUCCUAUGCUUUUAAUUUUGCUGCCAAGGAUGGGAUUUUGAAAAGCUGUUCUCAACCCACAUAUGUGGGUGGUUGGAUGGAUAAAUUGCAAUUAAUAUAUCCUCUCCUACCCAUUAAAACCCAUCCCACAGUUGGAA